GUGCUUGUAGCUCAGUUGGAUAGAGCAACAGUUUCCUAAACUGUAGGUCGCCAGUUCGACUCUGGCCAAGCACA
rnacentral:tRNA from 1 species